rnacentral:lncRNA from 1 species
GCUUGCCUCAAUCACGGAAACUACAAUUCAGAUUCCAUCGUAAGCCUUCAGCCUCCGCCUCAGGAUUUGGGGCAGAUCUAUACUUUCGGUCGCUCGCCCGUUCUUCCCAAAAAGAGAAACGGUUUGUUCUCAAACCCCAUCAAGGCGCAGCAUUGGGCGUAUGAAAGCACAGCUCCCUCAGCUGGUGGAUAUCAAACGCUCAGCAGGGACCCUGUCCAGAAAGAGGCCACUGCAGCGCCUCAGUCCAUUCUGGUCAAACCAGACGCUCAUAAGCACAACACAGAGAAGCCGGUAAAGUCAGUGCGGUUCCUGACUCACGAUGCUCCUCAGACAUCAAAAGUGACAUCCACUUCACCUGCAGGACAAAUCUCGAGUUCCCAGCCUGGUCUUUCGGCUCUAGACCACUGGAACCCUUCAGCCAUCUUGGGUCGGGAUGGAAGUACAUUAGUUUUUAAAGACACAAAAACACCCAGAAAGAGCUCAGGCCCGGAUCAUGCUUCGAUGGACUGCCUCUCGCUAAAUAUGAAGCCAGUCCUGAUCAACAACCAGCCCGGAUCUAACAGAUACAGAGUGAUGGAAGGUUACAACGCUAGAACAGAUGCAGAGCUCACGCUGACGGAAGGAGAAAUAGUCGUCGUUCAGAGGCCUCGAGCGGACGGAAGGAUUCUCGUGACCCAGGAGAUCAGUGGAAAAACGGGCCUUUUCCACAGCAGCGUUUUAGAAAUCCUAGACAAACUCCUUUGAGUGCCACAGUCUCUUCUGCACACGUUCUGUGUCCAGUGCUGUGUUCACAGUCACACAGUUUUAGCCUAUUGUGUCAUAAACCUAAAUUAAAAGCAAUAUCCUGUGUAAUAUGUCACUUCCUGUUGCCAGUAGGUGGCGCUAUGACUAUAACUGAAUAUGGGCAUAUCAAUCUGUUCAGGUCAGGAGUCUUAUCAAACAUGUGAUGUUUGGGGCAGAUUGGACAUUGUAUGUCUGAGUUAUAGCAACUUCUAAAAGUAAUGGCCAUUUUCAGGUAACUUUUCUUUU